AGUCUGGUGCCAGCAGCCGCGGUAAUUCCAGCUCCAAUAGCGUAUAUUAAAGUUGUUGCAGUUAAAAAGCUCGUAGUUGAAUUUCGGGGUUCUACCGUUGGUCGGGCUUUGUCUGUACUGGUGUGUAGAAUUUCUACCUUCUGGGGAACCAUCAUGCUAUUAAUUUAGCGUGGUGGGAAACCAGGACCUUUACCUUGAAAAAAUUAGUGUGUUCAAAGCAGGCUUAUGUCUGAAUACAUUAGCGUGGAAUAAUAGAAUAGGACGGUGGUCCUGUUUUGUUGGUUUCUGAAUCACCGUAAUGAUUAAUAGGGAUAGUUGGGGGCAUUAGUAUUCAAUUGUCAGAGGUGAAAUUCUUGGAUUUAUUGAAGACUAACUACUGCGAAAGCAUUUGCCAAGGAUGUUUUCAUUAAUCAAGAACGAAAGUUAGGGGAUCGAAGACGAUCAGAUACCGUCGUAGUCUUAACCAUAAACUAUGCCGACUAGGGAUCGGACGAUGUUAAUUUUUCUUGACUCGUUCGGCGCCUUACGGGAAAC
rnacentral:rRNA from 1 species